GGAUCCCAUCACGGACUUCAACUACCGAGAUGCCGCAGACCGAGAGCCUCCAUUCAACAGCUGCCAGUGACAACAGAGCCGCCUUCCCACGCACGGGCUGCCGAACCAAUUAGGCUGAGGCGGGAGCCUGCCGUGGCAAAAGGACUGGAGUUUACAGAAUAUAAUCAAAUCUGAAACGCCCCGAGCCAAUUUGAGAUUAUAGAGCUUUCUAACAGCCCCCGGCCCCAUUCCGCCAGCCUCACCAGAACAGAAGACAUCCUGUGGCCUAGAGGGAGAGGUCUGGUCUGGUGAUCCUGCUCACUGUGCUGGAAGCAACUCUGAAAUCUCAGCAGAUCUUUAGGCCUCUGCUUUUAUUUGGGUUUUGAUGGCCGGGAAGCCCAAGAUCAAGGUGCCCACCACUUUGGUUUCUUUGAUGAUUAUCUUCCUUGCUUCCUGAGGGCUACCUUC